CCUGAAAUUCCUCAUAAACCAACAUGCCCAGAGGGCAGUUCUAACCACUGUUUUAGGUGAUUUACAUGGAUUUGUAUUCACCAUUCUUUUUUGGAGGUGAUUAAUUUCUAUAGCAACCAUUACAUCACAAGACAUCUAUGCUUAUUCAGAAAUAUUGUGAGUGCAGUAUAUCUUCUUAGAAAGAAAAUAAUGCUUUAAAAAUGGGAAUUCCUUAAGUGCGAUGUUGCUUUAAGACAACUGGCUACUCCAAAACAAUACAAUCUGGAGUGCUUUAGAGGCUUGCUUCUGUUGGAAGAGAGAAAACUAGAGAAAGAAGAAUCUCAGUACUGAAUAUGAGACACAUUAAAAAAUGAUAUAAG
rnacentral:lncRNA from 1 species